rnacentral:rRNA from 1 species
GCGGUAAUACGUAGGUGGCAAGCGUUGUUCCGGAAUUAUUGGGCGUAAAGCGCGCGCAGGCGGCUCUUAAGUCUGAUGUGAAAUCUUGCGGCUCAACCGCAAAAGGUCAUUGGAAACUGGGGAGCUUGAGUGCAGAAGAGGAGAGUAGAAUUCCACGUGUAGCGGUGAAAUGCGUAGAGAUGUGGAGGAAUACCAGUGGCGAAGGCGGCUCUCUGGUCUGUUACUGACGCUGAGGUGCGAAAGCAUGGGGAGCAAACAGGAUUAGAUACCCUGGUAGUCCAUGCCGUAAACGAUGAAUGCUAGGUGUUAGGGGGGUCCAACCCCUUAGUGCUGAAGUUAACACAUUAAGCAUUCCGCCUGGGGAGUACGACCGCAAGGUUGAAACUCAAAGGAAUUGACGGGGGCCCGCACAAGCAGUGGAGCAUGUGGUUUAAUUCGAAGCAACGCGAAGAACCUUACCAGGUCUUGACAUCCUCUGACAAGUCUAGAGAUAGGCCGUUCCCCUUCGGGGGACAGAGUGACAGGUGGUGCAUGGUUGUCGUCAGCUCGUGUCGUGAGAUGUUGGGUUAAGUCCCGCAACGAGCGCAACCCUUGAUCUUAGUUGCCAGCAUUAAGUUGGGCACUCUAAGGUGACUGCCGGUGACAAACCGGAGGAAGGUGGGGAUGACGUCAAAUCAUCAUGCCCCUUAUGAUCUGGGCUACACACGUGCUACAAUGGGCGGUACAAAGGGCAGCGAAACCGCAAGGUCAAGCGAAUCCCAUAAAGCCGCCCCCAGUUCGGAUUGCAGGCUGCAACUCGCCUGCAUGAAGCCGGAAUUGCUAGUAAUCGCUGAUCAGCAUGCCGCGGUGAAUCCGUUCCCGGGCCUUGUACACACCGCCCGUCACACCACGAGAUUUUGU